rnacentral:rRNA from 1 species
UACAGAGGGUGCGAGCGUUAAUCGGAAUUACUGGGCGUAAAGCGUGCGUAGACGGUUAUCUAAGUCGAACGUGAAAUCCCCGGGCUCAACCCGGGAACUGCGUCCGAUACUGGAAGGCUUGAAUCCGGGAGGGGGAUGCGGAAUUCCAGGUGUAGCGGUGAAAUGCGUAGAUAUCUGGAGGAACACCGGUGGCGAAGGCGGCAUCCUGGACCGGCAUUGACGCUGAGGCGCGAAAGCCAGGGGAGCAAACGGG